GAUGAACGCUGACAGAAUGCUUAACACAUGCAAGUCAACUUGAAUUUGGGUUUUUACCUUAGGUUUGGGUGGCGGACGGGUGAGUAACGCGUAAAGAACUUGCCUCACAGCUAGGGACAACAUUUGGAAACGAAUGCUAAUACCUAAUAUUAUGAUAAUAGGGCAUCCUAUAAUUAUGAAAGCUAUAAGCGCUGUGAGAGAGCUUUGCGUCCCAUUAGCUAGUUGGAGAGGUAACGGCUCACCAAGGCGAUGAUGGGUAGCCGGCCUGAGAGGGUGAUCGGCCACAAGGGGACUGAGACACGGCCCUUACUCCUACGGGAGGCAGCAGUGGGGAAUAUUGGACAAUGGACCGAGAGUCUGAUCCAGCAAUUCUGUGUGCACGAUGAAGUUUUUCGGAAUGUAAAGUGCUUUCAGUUGGGAAGAAACAAAUGACGGUACCAACAGAAGAAGUGACGGCUAAAUACGUG
rnacentral:rRNA from 1 species